GAUGAACGCUGGCGGCGUGCCUAAUACAUGCCAGUCGAGCGAACGGACGAGAAGCUUGCUUCUCUGAUGUUAGCGGCGGACGGGUGAGUAACACGUGGAUAACCUACCUAUAAGACUGGGAUAACUUCGGGAAACCGGAGCUAAUACCGGAUAAUAUUUUGAACCGCAUGGUUCAAAAGCGAAAGACGGUCUUGCUGUCACUUAUAGAUGGAUCCGCGCUGCAUUAGCUAGUUGGUAAGGUAACGGCUUACCAAGGCAACGAUGCAUAGCCGACCUGAGAGGGUGAUCGGCCACACUGGAACUGAGACACGGUCCAGACUCCUACGGGAGGCAGCAGUAGGGAAUCUUCCGCAAUGGGCGAAAGCCUGACGGAGCAACGCCGCGUGAGUGAUGAAGGUCUUCGGAUCGUAAAACUCUGUUAUUAGGGAAGAACAUAUGUGUAAGCAACUGUGCACAUCUUGACGGUACCUAAUCAGAAAGCCACGGCUAACUACGUG
rnacentral:rRNA from 1 species